CAAAGGCUUGGUCCUGACUUUGUUAUCAACUUUAGCUAUACUUACACAUGCAAGCAUCCGCGACCCAGUGAGAAUGCCCUGUAGUCCUCUGUUUGAGGGCUGGGAGCUGGUAUCAGGCACAAGAACUUAGCCCAUGACGCCUUGUUUAGCCACACCCUCAAGGGAAUUCAGCAGUGAUAAACAUUAAGCCAUAAGUGAAAACUUGACUUAGUUAAAGCUAAGAGGGCCGGUAAAUCUCGUGCCAGCCACCGCGGUUAUACGAAAGACCCAAGUUGAUAAUCACCGGCGUAAAGAGUGGUUAAGAUAAACCCCCAAACUAAAGCCGAACAUCUUCAAAGCUGUUAUACGCACACGAAGAAAAGAAACCCAACCACGAAAGUGGCUUUAUAAUAUCUGACCCCACGAAAGCUAUGUCACAAACUGGGAUUAGAUACCCCACUAUG
rnacentral:rRNA from 1 species